GCUCAGAACUUAAAGGAAUUGACGGGGCCCGCACAAGCGGUGGAGUAUGUGGUUUAAUUCGAUGCAACGCGAAGAACCUUACCUGGUCUUGACAUCCCGGAGACCCUUAGGAAACUAGGGGGUGCUUCCAUCUGGAAGAAUCUGGAGACAGGUGCUGCAUGGCUGUCGUCAGCUCGUGUCGUGAGAUGUUGGGUUAAGUCCCGCAACGAGCGCAACCCUUGCCUUUAGUUGCCAGCAGUUCGGCUGGGCACUCUAAAGGGACUGCCGGUGUUAAACCGGAGGAAGGUGGGGAUGACGUCAAGUCCUCAUGGCCUUUAUGACCAGGGCUACACACGUACUACAAUGGCCGAUACAAAGGGCAGCGACACUGCGAGGUGAAGCCAAUCCCGUAAAAUCGGUCUCAGUCCGGAUUGGAGUCUGCAACUCGACUCCAUGAAGUUGGAAUCGCUAGUAAUCGUGGAUCAGCAUGCCACGGUGAAUACGUUCCCGGGCCUU
rnacentral:rRNA from 1 species